CGCAGCUGGUGUUUCAACGCCCUUGUCACUCAGCUCUGGUUUUGUGAAGAGGCUCCUCGCUCCCUGGUGAGUCGUUAAUGCUCACUCAGCCUUUUGUUAAAUGAGCCUUACAUGCAGGGUCCUGGCCUCGGACACCAGGUUGUAGGUCCUGCUGGUUGUGCCAUGUGGGAUGCCGCCUCAGCAUGGCUGACGAGUGGUGCCAUGUCUGCACGCAGGAUCCAAACCCGUGAAACCCUGGGCCACCGAAGCAGAGCGCGUGAACCCACCCACUCGGCCAUGGGGCCGGCCCCACAGAAUUUCUUUAAAUGGCUCUUUCAAGGAUUUUCUUCCAAACCUAUGACUCCACGACCCCCAACUCCUAAGUUCCAAUGCAGGUUCUUCUUUGAUCUUUUCAAAAGGUGUCAACAGAGGAUUUCAGAGAACUACCAGCAUUAUAUUAUUUCCUGAAAUGGUCCCUAAAUUUUUUGUUGAAUGCAGAGUUGAUGGGUUGCCAUUGUCCAUUUGUGCCAUCAGAAAUAUAAAGCAAAUUGGCUCAUGUGCAGGCAGCCACUGCUACAUCAUGUUUAUUGCCUGGACAAAAGCAAUUAUAAGACACCACUGAUCAGAAG
rnacentral:lncRNA from 1 species